CAAACAAAAAUGCGCUUUUUAAGUUUUGUGAACAUCUUUAGACCAGUCCUUCAAAUAUUGAGUUUUGGGACGUGUCAAAUAGAUGGCGUGUUGAUUGUGUCAGUUAUGGGCUUAUGGCGGUUUGCUGUCAAAAGUUAUAAGCUAUCUUUUCUUCGAAAAUUAACAAUGAAUUCAUAGUAUGAAACGUGUAAGAGUAGUGCAGCCUACUGUCAACUAUUUUGUUCAAAAUUAUUGUUAAUCAUCUACUGAAUCAUUUCAUUUACUGAAAUCAUUUACUGAAUGUGCCAUUGAAAUGAUACAGGAUUCAUCAUAAUUGUCCGCUGUUUGUAUUUGACUUGCAGACUUGCUAGAUCACCAACCCCAGCGUGGACCAAUCUCUCAUUCCAUUUUCUGGUGAACCUUGGAUUUGGUUCGAUGGUUGAUUUGGAUCGAUGGUUUCAUGUGUAAGUUUACUUGUCAUGUUGUCACUGAAUUUUCUAUGUAGCAGUCUAAUAUGUAUUUAAAGUAUCUGCACUUUAUCUGCAGCCCAACUAUCUAAUGUUUUACUGUUUUAGAGACGAUUUUGAGUGUAUACUACUAACUGUUUAAUUAUUCUUUUAGAUCAUAGAUGUCAAGCAAAUUGAUGAAACAAAUUA